GACGAACGCUGGCGGCGUGCCUAACACAUGCAAGUCGAACGGAGUUACACUCCAGCUUGCUGGAGAACUAACUUAGUGGCGCACGGGUGAGUAACACGUGGGUAACCUACCCGAAAGACUGGGAUAACACCCCGAAAGGGGUGCUAAUACCGGAUACCUUUAUAGGUUUGCAUGAACUUAUAAAGAAAGUUUUUUCGCUUUCGGAUGGGCCCGCGUCCCAUUAGCUAGUUGGUGAGGUAACGGCUCACCAAGGCGACGAUGGGUAGCUGGUCUGAGAGGACGAUCAGCCACACUGGAACUGAGACACGGUCCAGACUCCUACGGGAGGCAGCAGUGGGGAAUCUUGCGCAAUGGGCGAAAGCCUGACGCAGCAACGCCGUGUGAACGAAGAAGGCCUUCGGGUCGUAAAGUUCUGUCAGGGGGGACGAAAUCUGACGGUACCCCCAGAGGAAGCCCCGGCUAACUACGUGCCAGCAGCCGCGGUAAUACGUAGGGGGCGAGCGUUGUCCGGAAUUACUGGGCGUAAAGGGCGUGUAGGCGGUUUAUCAAGUCAGGUGUGAAAUUCCAGGGCUCAACCCUGGGCGUGCACUUGAAACUGGUAGGCUUGAGUGCAGGAGAGGAAAGUGGAAUUCCCAGUGUAGCGGUGAAAUGCGUAGAUAUUGGGAGGAACACCAGUGACGAAGGCGACUUUCUGGCCUGUAACUGACGCUGAGGCGCGAAAGCUAGGGGAGCAAACAGG
rnacentral:rRNA from 1 species